AGAGUUUGAUCCUGGCUCAGAGCGAACGCUGGCGGCAGGCCUAAAACAUGCAAGUCGAACGGAUCCUUCGGGAUUAGUGGCGGACGGGUGAGUAACACGUGGGAACGUGCCUUUUGGUUCGGAACAACUCAGGGAAACUUGAGCUAAUACCGAAUGUGCCCUUCGGGGGAAAGAUUUAUCGCCAUUAGAGCGGCCCGCGUCUGAUUAGCUUGUUGGUGAGGUAAAAGGCUCACCAAGGCGACGAUCAGUAGCUGGUCUGAGAGGAUGAUCAGCCACACUGGGACUGAGACACGGCCCAGACUCCUACGGGAGGCAGCAGUUAGGAAUCUUGCGCAAUGGGGGAAACCCUGACGCAGCCAUGCCGCGUGAAUGAUGAAGGUCUUAGGAUUGUAAAAUUCUUUCAGCGGGGACGAUAAUGACGGUACCCGCAGAAGAAGCCCGGCUAACUUCGUG
rnacentral:rRNA from 1 species